AGAGUUUGAUCAUGGCUCAGGACGAACGCUGGCGGCGUGCUUAACACAUGCAAGUCGAACGGUGAAAGGAAGCUUGCUUCCUGGAUCAGUGGCGAACGGGUGAGUAACACGUGAGCAAUCUGCCCUUGACUCUGGGAUAAGCGUUGGAAACGACGUCUAAUACCGGAUACGACCCUCGGAGGCAUCUCCUGGGGGUGGAAAGAAUUUUGGUCAAGGAUGAGCUCGCGGCCUAUCAGCUUGUUGGUGAGGUAAUGGCUCACCAAGGCGACGACGGGUAGCCGGCCUGAGAGGGUGACCGGCCACACUGGGACUGAGACACGGCCCAGACUCCUACGGGAGGCAGCAGUGGGGAAUAUUGCACAAUGGGCGCAAGCCUGAUGCAGCAACGCCGCGUGAGGGACGACGGCCUUCGGGUUGUAAACCUCUUUUAGUAGGGAAGAAGCGAAAGUGACGGUACCUGCAGAAAAAGCACCGGCUAACUACGUGCCAGCAGCCGCGGUAAUACGUAGGGUGCAAGCGUUGUCCGGAAUUAUUGGGCGUAAAGAGCUCGUAGGCGGUCUGUCGCGUCGGCUGUGAAAACUUGGGGCUCAACUCCGAGCUUGCAGUCGAUACGGGCAGGCUAGAGUUCGGCAGGGGAGACUGGAAUUCCUGGUGUAGCGGUGAAAUGCGCAGAUAUCAGGAGGAACACCGGUGGCGAAGGCGGGUCUCUGGGCCGAUACUGACGCUGAGGAGCGAAAGCGUGGGGAGCGAACAGGAUUAGAUACCCCAGUAGUCC
rnacentral:rRNA from 1 species